GAUCAUGGCUCAGGACGAACGCUGGCGGCGUGCUUAACACAUGCAAGUCGAACGAGAAUCUACUGAAAGAGUUUUCGGACAAUGGAUGUAGAGGAAAGUGGCGGACGGGUGAGUAACGCGUGGGUAACCUGCCUCAUACAGGGGGAUAACAGUUAGAAAUGACUGCUAAUACCGCAUAAGCGCACAGUACCACAUGGUACGGUGUGAAAAACUCCGGUGGUAUGAGAUGGACCCGCGU
rnacentral:rRNA from 1 species